rnacentral:rRNA from 1 species
UACAGAGGUCCCAAGCGUUGUUCGGAUUCACUGGGCGUAAAGGGUGCGUAGGCGGUCGGGUACGUCUGCUGUGAAAUCUCACAGCUUAACUGUGAAACUGCAUUGGAUACUAUCCGGCUCGAGGAAUGGAGGGGAGACUGGAAUACUUGGUGUAGCAGUGAAAUGCGUAGAUAUCAAGUGGAACACCAGUGGCGAAGGCGGCCUUCUGGACAGUGACUGACGCUGAGACGCGAAAGCGUGGGGAGCAAACAGG